rnacentral:rRNA from 1 species
GGGCUUCGCAAGGCGGUUUUUUAAGUCUGAAGGUUGAAAAGCCCCCGGCUCAACCGGGGAGGGUCAUUGGAAACUGGGGAACUUGAGUGCAGAAGAGGAGAGUGGAAUUCCACGUGUAGCGGUGAAAUGCGUAGAGAUGUGGAGGAACACCAGUGGCGAAGGCGACUCUCUGGUCUGUAACUGACGCUGAGGAGCGAAAGCGUGGGGAGCGAACAGGAUUAGAUACCCUGGUAGUCCACGCCGUAAACGAUGAGUGCUAAGUGUUAGGGGGUUUCCGCCCCUUAGUGCUGCAGCUAACGCAUUAAGCACUCCGCCUGGGGAGUACGGUCGCAAGACUGAAACUCAAAGGAAUUGACGGGGGCCCGCACAAGCGGUGGAGCAUGUGGUUUAAUUCGAAGCAACGCGAAGAACCUUACCAGGUCUUGACAUCCUCUGACAAUCCUAGAGAUAGGACGUCCCCUUCGGGGGCAGAGUGACAGGUGGUGCAUGGUUGUCGUCAGCUCGUGUCGUGAGAUGUUGGGUUAAGUCCCGCAACGAGCGCAACCCUUGAUCUUAGUUGCCAGCAUUCAGUUGGGCACUCUAAGGUGACUGCCGGUGACAAACCGGAGGAAGGUGGGGAUGACGUCAAAUCAUCAUGCCCCUUAUGACCUGGGCUACACACGUGCUACAAUGGACAGAACAAAGGGCAGCGAAACCGCGAGGUUAAGCCAAUCCCACAAAUCUGUUCUCAGUUCGGAUCGCAGUCUGCAACUCGACUGCGUGAAGCUGGAAUCGCUAGUAAUCGCGGAUCAGCAUGCCGCGGUGAAUA